CAGUCGCCGCGGUAAUACGAAGGGGGCUAGCGUUGUUCGGAAUUACUGGGCGUAAAGCGCGCGUAGGCGGACAUUUAAGUCAGGGGUGAAAUCCCGGGGCUCAACCCCGGAACUGCCUCUGAUACUGGGUGUCUAGAGUUCGGAAGAGGUAAGUGGAAUUGCGAGUGUAGAGGUGGAAUUCGUAGAUAUUCGCAGGAACACCAGUGGCGAAGGCGACUUACUGGUCCGAUACUGACGCUGAGGUGCGAAAGCGUGGGGAGCAAACAGGAUUAGAUACCCCUGUAGUCCCUGUCUCUUAUAA
rnacentral:rRNA from 1 species